rnacentral:piRNA from 2 species
GACUGCGUUCGCGCUCUCCCCUG